rnacentral:snRNA from 1 species
GUGUUCACUUUGGCAGCACAUAUACUAAAACUGGAAGGCUAGAGAUUAAAAUGCCUUGCACAAGGAUAACAAGCUAAGUCAUGAAACCUUCCAUAUUUCA